UACGUAGGGAGCAAGCGUUAUCCGGAUUCACUGGGUUUAAAGGGUGUGUAGGCGGAUUUUUAAGUCAGUGGUGAAAUCUCCGGGCUCAACCCGGAAACUGCCAUUGAUACUAUUAGUCUUGAAUUCUGUUGAGGUGGGCGGAAUACAUCAUGUAGCGGUGAAAUGCUUAGAUAUGAUGUAGAACACCGAUUGCGAAGGCAGCUCACUAAGCAGCGAUUGACGCUGAGGCACGAAAGCGUGGGGAUCAAACAGG
rnacentral:rRNA from 1 species